rnacentral:rRNA from 1 species
CCUACGGGAGGCAGCAGUGAGGAAUAUUGGUCAAUGGACGCAAGUCUGAACCAGCCAUGCCGCGUGCAGGAAGACGGCUCUAUGAGUUGUAAACUGCUUUUGUACGAGGGUAAACGCAGAUACGCGUAUCUGUCUGAACGUAUCGUACGAAUAAGGAUCGGCUAACUCCGUGCCAGCAGCCGCGGUAAUACGGAGGAUUCAAGCGUUAUCCGGAUUUAUUGGGUGUAAAGGGUGCGUAGGCGGUAGGAUAAGUUAGAGGUGAAAUCCCGGGGCUCAAAUUCGGGAUUGCUUUUGAUACGGUUCGGCUAGAGGGGAGGAGCGGGAGGCGGAAUGUAGGGUGUAGCGGUGAAAUGCGGAGAGAUCA